GUGAACGCUGGCGGUAGGCCUAACACAUGCAAGUCGAACGGCAGCACCGUAAGAGCUUGCUCUUACGGGUGGCGAGUGGCGGACGGGUGAGGAAUACAUCGGAAUCUACUUUUUCGUGGGGGAUAACGUAGGGAAACUUACGCUAAUACCGCAUACGACCUACGGGUGGAAGCAGGGGAUCUUCGGACCUUGCGCGAUUGAAUGAGCCGAUGUCGGAUUAGCUAGUUGGCGGGGUAAAGGCCCACCAAGGCGACGAUCCGUAGCUGGUCUGAGAGGAUGAUCAGCCACACUGGAACUGAGACACGGUCCAGACUCCUACGGGAGGCAGCAGUGGGGAAUAUUGGACAAUGGGCGCAAGCCUGAUCCAGCCAUACCGCGUGGGUGAAGAAGGCCUUCGGGUUGUAAAGCCCUUUUGUUGGGAAAGAAAAGCAGCAGGUUAAUACCCCGCUGUUCUGACGGUACCCAAAGAAUAAGCACCGGCUAACUUCGUG
rnacentral:rRNA from 1 species